rnacentral:rRNA from 1 species
GUCUAUGGCCAUACCACCUGAAUGUACCCAAUCUCAUCUGGUCUUGGAAGCUAAGCAGAGUCAGGCCUGGUUAGUACUUGGAUGGGAGACAGAUCUUCAGAGGAGACUGCUUAGAGA